GCAUAGCUCUCAGAGAAGGUACAAAGUACAGGGCUGUCACCCGUGUUUUAGGCAACCUUAGAAACAACAGGUAAGAGAGUCAUAAAGUUGAGAUUAAACAAGAAGAGAAUGAGAAUCACUUGGAACCUCUGACUGCGGGAGGUGCUGUCUUUUGCACGAGCAGCACAUAAUGUACAAAGUGAGCAUCUUUGAACCCACCACCUGAAGAAGCAGAGAAUUACCAGGACCUUGAAGGCCACGUGUGUUCCUGCCCUGAUACCCUCCUGUGUCUUCUCUGGGAGAGUUGAAAUUUGAGAUAAUCACUCCUUGAUUUUCUUUAGAGUUUUAGUUUUAAGUUGUGUCUGUCUUUAAAACUGGUAUAAAUGUAAUGACAUUGUAUACAUUCUUCCGUGACUGCCUUUCACGCGGGAUUUUAUGUCUGGGAUUCACCUGUGUUGGUGCAUGCAGUGGUUGCAUUAACUGUCAGCGCUACACAACGUGAUGAACACAAGUUCUUAUCUUUGUGUAGUCAAAAUUUCAGUAUUUUCUUCUGUGGUUUGCAUUUUUUGUGACAUAUUUAAGAAAUUUUUCCUUAUUCUGAGAUUAAAAAAAAUACAUAUUUUAUUAAAGU